rnacentral:lncRNA from 1 species
GCUUUGGAAGCAUUCCUUGAACUGAUUGAUAGGAAUGGCUUGUGUGAGGAAUACCAAGAACUUCAAGGUUUCUAAAGGAUCACUGAAGAGUUUGCAAACAUCUUUUGUUAGGAAAUAAUCUAAUAUUUUGCAUCUGAUCCUAGUUCUCUCAGGCUCUGGCAAGGCAGGCUUGCCUGAAGACAUACUUCCUCAUCCUGCCUCCUUCAUCAUUCAUAGAGUCAGAGAAUGAUUGAAUCAUCAAAGUUGGAAAAGACCUCCAAGAUCAUCUAGUCCAACCAUCAACCCAUCCCCACCAUGCCCACUGACCAUGUCCCCGAGUGCAACAUCUACACGGUUCUUGAACACCUUUGGGGAUGGUGACUCCACCACCUGUUCCAGUGCCUCACUGCUCUUUCUGAGAAGAAAUUUUUCCUGAUGCCCAACCUGAAUGUAGUUGCACUUGAGAAGAGAGCAGAAAUUUGAUCUGUAUUGAUAACAUUAAGGUAGAGAUUCUAGACGCAGAGUUACCAUUGCUCAGCUGACGUGGUAUCCUAUGAUGUGAUCAUAAACAUGAGCCAUUCGGGACAGCGUUUUCAACUUAACAAAAGGCACAGCAGCUUCCCCCAUUCCAUACAAACUGUGUUUCAGAAGCAGCUCCAAGGCAUCUUCAGCCACUCUUGAAUUUUCUUUCAUUUCGCUCACCUGAAAACAUUCGUCUAAUGUUUCUGACUGACUGAAUCCACGCUUUUAGGCGAACAGCUGGGAAGUAAGUCAUCAAGCAUAAAUUAGAAGCACAUACUCUGGUCGUGUCAGAGUAGCAGCUGCUCACAGACUUCAGUGCAAAACUUGCUGACUUGACCUUCAGAGACCUGAAGGCUUUCACAGAGGGACAGAGUUUUGGCAACAUGUGAGAAAACGUGCUGCUUGUUAACCAACUGCAACAUCAGCAGGCUUUUACCAGGGACAGUGUGCUAAGGAUUCGGAGGUGUUAAAUGUGUGAUUUUUAAUUAAUGAACUGAGUUACUCAGAGGACUGCACGACUGCCAGGAGAAUGUAUAUUUGCUCUUACACUAAAGUGGAUGGUCAGCAGAUAGAUUUUUUUUUUUUUUUUUUGAAUGAAUGAAAUUGAAGAAAGGAAAUUACACUUGGCAAACUUUAAUUGGGAAAUGACAGCAGGCACCUGAGAAAAACUGAAGAAGCUCUGAGACAUGGGAGAAGGAAACAGCAGCUAAAGGGCACAGUGG